GCUUACAUACUCAAUUUGGUAGAGCAUUCGACUAUUAAUCGAUUGUAGCAGGUUCAAUUCCUGUGUAUAAACA
rnacentral:tRNA from 1 species